rfam:Myotis lucifugus cont2.825, whole genome shotgun sequence.
AGCUUUGUGCAGUGGCAGUAUCGUAGCCAAUGAGGUUUAUCCGAGGCAUGGUUAUUGCUAAAACAAACAAGUAAACAUAUAUAUAUAUAUAUAUAUAUAUAUAUAUAUAUAUAUAUAUAUAUA